rnacentral:rRNA from 1 species
CGGACGGGUGAGUAAUGCUUGGGAAUCUGGCUUAUGGAGGGGGAUAACUACGGGAAACUGUAGCUAAUACCGCGUAGUGUCGAGAGACGAAAGGGUGGGACCUUCGGGCCACCUGCCAUAAGAUGAGCCCAAGUGGGAUUAGGUAGUUGGUGGGGUAAAGGCCUACCAAGCCGACGAUCUCUAGCUGGUCUGAGAGGAUGACCAGCCACACUGGAACUGAGACACGGUCCAGACUCCUACGGGAGGCAGCAGUGGGGAAUAUUGCACAAUGGGGGGAACCCUGAUGCAGCCAUGCCGCGUGAAUGAAGAAGGCCUUCGGGUUGUAAAGUUCUUUCGGUGAUGAGGAAGGUGUUUGUUUUAAUAGAACAAGCAAUUGACGUUAGUCACAGAAGAAGCACCGGCUAACUCCGUGCCAGCAGCCGCGGUAAUACGGAGGGUGCGAGCGUUAAUCGGAAUGACUGGGCGUAAAGGGCACGCAGGCGGUGACUUAAGUGAGAUGUGAAAGCCCCGGGCUUAACCUGGGAAUUGCAUUUCAUACUGGGUCGCUAGAGUAUUUUAGGGAGGGGUAGAAUUCCACGUGUAGCGGUGAAAUGCGUAGAGAUGUGGAGGAAUACCGAAGGCGAAGGCAGCCCCUUGGGAAUAUACUGACGCUCAUGUGCGAAAGCGUGGGGAGCAAACAGGAUUAGAUACCCUGGUAGUCCACGCUGUAAACGCUGUCGAUUUGGGGAUUGGGCUUUAAGCUUGGUGCCCGUAGCUAACGUG